AGUUGCAUCAUACACCAUUUUGCCAAGGACCCAUGGAAGAAAGAACAGAUGCCACUUCCAAGCAAAAUAAAAACCGCUCGCCAUAGGCAGCGUGUUAAUUCUGACCCUGCAGCAAGAGCGAAGUACCUUGCUCGGAGAAGAGAAAGCUACCAGAGGAGAAAACAGCAGGGAAGAUUCAAUAUGCUAAGUCAAGUGAGCUGACAGAGAGAGAGAAAAAGAAACAGAGAGAGAAAUGGAGAGCUUCCUCAAGUGCGUAGAGGGAAAGGAAAAAUAUGGCAAAUGCUUUGCUAGAAAUUACGCCGCCAUCAAUGGAGAACAUUCCACAAGAUCUGGUUGAUGUGAUUGUAACCU